GCGGGAAUAACUCAGUGGUAGAGUGCAACCUUCCCAAGGUUGAGGUCGCGAGUUCGAAUCUCGUUUCCCGCUCCA
rnacentral:tRNA from 6 species